ensembl:misc_RNA Y_RNA Y RNA
UGCUGGUCUCAAUGCAGUGGUAUUUACAACCAAUUGUUCCCGAGCAGUUACAGAUUCCUUUGUUCCUUCUCCACUCCCACUGCUUCACUUGACCAACCAAAA